rnacentral:rRNA from 1 species
UACGUAGGGUGCGAGCGUUAAUCGGAAUUACUGGGCGUAAAGCGUGCGCAGGCGGUUAUGUAAGACAGAUGUGAAAUCCCCGGGCUCAACCUGGGAACUGCAUUUGUGACUGCAUGGCUAGAGUACGGUAGAGGGGGAUGGAAUUCCGCGUGGAGCAGUGAAAUGCGUAGAUAUGCGGAGGAACACCGAUGGCGAAGGCAAUCCCCUGGACCUGUACUGACGCUCAUGCACGAAAGCGUGGGGAGCAAACAGGAUUAGAUACCCCCGUAGUCC